GAUGAACGCUGGCGGCGUGCUUAACACAUGCAAGUCGAACGAAGAUGCCGGAGUGCUUGCACUUUGGCAGACUGAGUGGCGGACGGGUGAGUAACGCGUGGGUAACCUGCCUUAUACAGGGGGAUAACAGUUGGAAACGACUGCUAAUACCGCAUAAGCGCACGGUAUCGCAUGAUACAGUGUGAAAAACUCCGGUGGUAUAAGAUGGACCCGCGUCUGAUUAGCUUGUUGGUGAGGUAAUGGCCCACCAAGGCGACGAUUGGUAGCCGGACUGAGAGGUUGAACGGCCACAUUGGGACUGAGACACGGCCCAGACUCCUACGGGAGGCAGCAGUGGGGGAUAUUGCACAAUGGGGGAAACCCUGAUGCAGCGACGCCGCGUGGAGGAAGAAGGUUUUCGGAUUGUAAACUCCUGUCGUUAGGGACGAUAAUGACGGUACCUAACAAGAAAGCACCGGCUAACUACGUG
rnacentral:rRNA from 1 species